rnacentral:rRNA from 1 species
GUGACGGCUAACUACGUGCCAGCAGCCGCGGUAAAACGUAGGUCACAAGCGUUGUCCGGAAUUACUGGGUGUAAAGGGAGCGCAGGCGGGAAGACAAGUUGGAAGUGAAAUCUAUGGGCUCAACCCAUAAACUGCUUUCAAAACUGUUUUUCUUGAGUAGUGCAGAGGUAGGCGGAAUUCCCGGUGUAGCGGUGGAAUGCGUAGAUAUCGGGAGGAACACCAGUGGCGAAGGCGGCCUACUGGGCACCAACUGACGCUGAGGCUCGAAAGUGUGGGUAGCAAACAAGAGGUAGAUACCCUGGUAGUCCACACUGUAAACGAUGAUUAAUAGGUGUUGGGGGAUUGACCCCCUCAGUGCCGCAGUUAACUCAAUAAGUAAUCCACCUGGGGAGUACGACCGCAAGGUUGAAACUCAAAGGAAUUGACGGGGGCCCGCACAAGCAGUGGAGUAUGUGGUUUAAUUCGACGCAACGAGAAGAACCUUACCAAGUCUUGACAUCUUGCGACGGUGCUAGAAAUAGUACUUUCCUUCGGGACGCAGAGACAGGUGGUGCAUGGUUGUCGUCAGCUCGUGUCGUGAGAUGUUGGGUUAAGUCCCGCAACGAGCGCAACCCCUAUGGUCAGUUACUACGCAAGAGGACUCUGGCCAGACUGCCGUUGACAAAACGGAGGAAGGUGGGGAUGACGUCAAAUCAUCAUGCCCUUUAUGACUUGGGCUACACACGUACUACAAUGGCGUUUAACAAAGAGAAGCGAAGUCGCGAGGCAGAGCAAAACUCAGAAACAACGUCCCAGUUCGGACUGCAGGCUGCAACUCGCCUGCACGAAGUCGGAAUUGCUAGUAAUCGCAGAUCGGCAUGCUGCGGUGAAUACGUUCCCGGGCCUUGUACUCACCGCCCGUCA